rnacentral:rRNA from 1 species
AAUGAACGUUGGCGGCAUGGAUUAGGCAUGCAAGUCGGGGGAAUCCCAGCAAUGGGGGAACCGGCGUAAGGGGCAGUAAGGCAUGGGUACCUACCUUGGGGUUCGGGAUAGCCAUCAGAGAUGGUGGGUAAUACCGGAUGACGUCGUGAGACCAAAGAUUUAUCGCCCCUAGAGGGGCACAUGGUGAUAUUAGCUAGUUGGUGGGGUAACGGCCCACCAAGGCGAAGAUGUCUAGCGGGUGUGAGAGCACGACCCGCGCCACUCGCACUGAGACACUGGCGAGGCACCUACGGGUGGCUGCAGUCGAGGAUCUGCGGCAAUGAGCGCAAGCUUGACCGAGCGAUGCCGCGUGAGCGAUGAAGGCCUUCGGGUUGUAAAGCUCUUUAGUGGGGGAGAAAAGCCGCAAGGUGUGAUCUAUCCCAAAAAUAAGCACGGGCUAAGUUCGUGCCAGCCGCCGCGGUAA